rnacentral:rRNA from 1 species
UGCAGUCGAACGUGAAAGUAGCAAUAUGAGUAAAGUGGCGUACGGGUGAGUWWCACGUGGGUAAUCUACCUUAAAAUCUGGAAUAACCGGCCGAAAGGCUGGCUAAUACUGGAUAGAUCAAGUGCACUGUAGAGGUGCGAUUGGGAAAGGGAGCUCGCAAGAGCCUUCGUUUUAAGAUGAGCCCGCGUCUGAUUAGCUAGUUGGUAAGGUAAUGGCUUACCAAGGCGACGAUCAGUAGCUGGUCUGAGAGGAUGAUCAGCCACACUGGAACUGAAACACGGUCCAGACUCCUACGGGAGGCAGCAGUGGGGAAUCUUGCGCAAUGGACGAAAGUCUGACGCASCCACGCCGCGUGAGUGAAGAAGGCCUUCGGGUUGUAAAGCUCUGUCGGAGGGGACAAAAACGUUUAGGGUUAAUAGCCCUAGAUCUUGAUGGUACCCUUAAAGGAAGCACCGGCUAACUUCGUGCCAGCAGCCGCGGUAAUACGAAGGGUGCAAGCGUUGCUCGGAAUUAUUGGGCGUAAAGGGUAGGUAGGUGGUUGCGUAUGUCUGGGGUGAAAUCCCUGAGCUUAACUCAGGAAGUGUCUUGGAAACGGCGUAACUAGAGUGCUAGAGAGGUUCGUGGAAUUCCCAGUGUAGCGGUGAAAUGCGUAGAGAUUGGGAGGAACACCAGAGGCGAAGGCGGCGAACUGGAUAGCAACUGACACUGAACUACGAAAGCGUGGGUAGCAAACAGGAUUAGAUACCCUGGUAGUCCACGCUGUAAACGAUGGGUACUAGGUUUCGUGGGAGUUGACCCCUGCGGAACCGGCGCUAACGCAAUAAGUACCCCGCCUGGGAAGUACGGUCGCAAGACUAAAACUCAAAGGAAUUGACGGGAGCCCGCACAAGCGGUGGAUUAUGUGGUUUAAUUCGAAGCAACGCGCAGAACCUUACCUAGGUUUGACAUCCUUUGAC